rnacentral:rRNA from 1 species
CCUACGGUGGCUGCAGUGGGGAAUAUUGGACAAUGGGCGAAAGCCUGAUCCAGCCAUGCCGCGUGUGUGAAGAAGGCCUUCGGGUUGUAAAGCACUUUCAGUGGGGAAGAAAGCCUUGGGGCUAAUACCCUCGAGGAAGGACAUCACCCACAGAAGAAGCACCGGCUAACUCCGUGCCAGCAGCCGCGGUAAUACGGAGGGUGCGAGCGUUAAUCGGAAUUACUGGGCGUAAAGCGCGCGUAGGCGGUCUGAUAAGCCGGUUGUGAAAGCCCCGGGCUCAACCUGGGAACGGCAUCCGGAACUGUCAGGCUAGAGUGCAGGGGAGGAAGGUAGAAUUCCCGGUGUAGCGGUGAAAUGCGUAGAGAUCGGGAGGAAUACCAGUGGCGAAGGCGGCCUUCUGGACUGACACUGACGCUGAGGUGCGAAAGCGUGGGUAGCAAACAGGAUUAGAUACCCUGGUAGUC